AUUGAACGCUGGCGGCAUGCCUUACACGUGCAAGUCGAACGGUAACGGGCCUUCGGGUGCCGACGAGUGGCGAACGGGUGAGUAAUGUAUCGGAACGUACCUUUCAGUGGGGGAUAACGUAGCGAAAGUUACGCUAAUACCGCAUAUUCUGUGCGCAGGAAAGCAGGGGAUCGCAAGACCUUGCGCUGAUUGAGCGGCCGAUAUCAGAUUAGCUAGUUGGUGAGGUAAAGGCUCACCAAGGCGACGAUCUGUAGCGGGUCUGAGAGGAUGAUCCGCCACACUGGAACUGAGACACGGUCCAGACUCCUACGGGAGGCAGCAGUGGGGAAUUUUGGACAAUGGGGGCAACCCUGAUCCAGCCAUGCCGCGUGAGUGAAGAAGGCCUUCGGGUUGUAAAGCUCUUUCGGCCGGGAAGAAAUCGUAUCAGCUAAUACCUGGUGCGGAUGACGGUACCGGCAUGAGAAGCACCGGCUAACUACGUGCCAGCCGCCGCCGUAAUAC
rnacentral:rRNA from 1 species